CUUGCUCAGCUCCAUGAGAAUAGCAGGGUUAGACCAGAGCAGACUGUUGUUUCUCUGGGGUCCGGUCCUGCCUUGCUCUGCCAAAGGAGUUGAUGAAACACUCCAGAAACAGGCCUAUUAUGUGGAGAAUCUAAAAAGCCUUGUUAUGUCUCAGCAUCUUCCCUCCGUCCCAGAUGUAGCCUCCAAAUAGAAAGCUGUGAUUCCCCUCUCAUCUGCCCCUGCUGUCUUCAGAUUGGAAUCUGUUGCCUCUGCCUCUUCCCCCGUCGCCCCCAUUUCACUUCAAAGGCAAGCUAGCUGAGACACUGAAGCCCUUAACAACCUCCAUUAGCCACCCAGAGGAAAACAACAGACUACAGGCGGACACACAACAUCUUUAUUCCCCUCUUUGGUUUUCCAAAGAAAUCCUUUAUUUGGCUCACAUUACAUUAUGCUGGUGAAGGGGUAAAUAAUUUCUUACUAUUUUGUGAAUACCAUUUACCCUCAUAUUGUGUCUGAUUUGCAUUAAUGUCAAAUGUGCUUUUGUGUCAAAUUAGCAUUUAUGUUGUGGAUAAAUGUGUUUGAAAAACAGCAUAUACAGUAUGGUAUGAUAGUACAAAAUUAGUAAUAAUAUUAGGGUAAGCACUCACCUACUGUAAAUUGCCAAGAAAUUGGCCAAACUCUCCACCCUGAGGCCUAUGAGAAAUACAAUUUAAACACCAGCACAUUGAUUUAGCUUCAGUCAAAACAAGAAGCAGUUAACCUCUUGAGUGUUAGGUCAAAAUACCAGCUGUGAAUUCCCAACUCGUUUGGGUGAGCGGGUGUUUUCAUAACCUGGUUUGAAUAUAAUUAGACCUUUAACAUGGCUGACUAAGCCUACUCUAUAAAGGUCUGAUAAAUGCAUCUUUAUAAUUUAGUCUUAACAUUACUACGUAUACCCCAGUGAAAUAUUUGGUUUUUAAUACAAUUUGGAGCAUGUGUUGAGCCUCAACAUUAUGCAAGAAUGUUCAAAUUGACGUUUUAGCAGAAGAUAAUAUGACAGGCAUGAGCAAUUUGGUUAAUUACUUUGCUAAAUGCCCCAAUAAAUGAUUGUAACUGAUCUUUGGGUUGUUUGAUACUGGAGUUAUUUUUUAUUUAUUUAUAUUUUUACUUUAGUUGAAUUACCUUUGUUUAACAUGAUGACCUUAUGUUUGGAGUCUACGUUGACCUGGUUAGUUUUGGAGAUGGACAGAGCAGAUGUGUGUAUUGGAUUGCUCAUUCUGUUCAAAUAUCAUGACAAGAGAAGUAGCUCUUACAACAGGGAAGCUGUCUAUAAAUGCCACUAUUCCCUGGCCUCGUAACUUGAGGUAAGAGAGAAAAGAUUGAUGACAUCAAUCAAGUGUGCUCACCACACACACACACACAAAUACACACACAAAACCAACACUCCCGUCUGCCCUGAUGUGUUCUAUCACAGCAGAGAAAAUCCCACAUUUUACCCUCCUCUUGUGUGAUUCCAUGGGUGAAAUUAACUGAAGGGCCCUGGGAGAUCAGCAGGUAAUUGUUUAUUGUCAGGCUUCACUUCUUUUCCCUCACUCUUCUGUCGAAAUCUGCUUUCUGUUUGCAACCCUAGUGGAGAACUCAAGCACACGCAAAAACGCACACGUUCGAUGAAGGUCUAUAAUUGUGGGGUCCCUAAAAGUCCCUAACUUGCCUCUAAUCCCAAUAACCUAACCUGAACCCUUUACCCAACCCUAAACCCAAUUUUGUUAUUGCACACAUUUGUCAUUUUAUUAUUUGCAGAGCGGUGAGGUUAACGUGUUUCUAAAUCCAACAGUCAUUGCCACACGCUUCGUACACUGUCCUGUCAUUCCCCACUUAUCACAGUAUUGUCAUGCAAGGUGGACAUGCACAUCACACGCAGUAAUUACGUUCUGUGGUCCCGCCACUACGACUAGGGAAAACAUGCGGUUUGUUAGGCUACGGAUGAAAUGCCACGCUGGACUGCGGGGCGGUGAAAGUGCACUGUAAUGAGCUUGAUGCCCCUGUCUCGAACCAUGUUGACGGUCCUGUUCCAAACAAUUUCAUAAUGUAGGGAAGCCUGCCUGCACUGUAUCACACAGCGCUUUUCAUCAAUCGGCUUGGAACGUGGGGGUGGUGUGGAUGGCUUUUACUGCGCAGUGGAAAAGCAGGCAAGGGACAGGUUAGGGUAAGCUGCACAAUAUCAACA
ensembl:lncRNA